UGCACCGAAGCUGCGGCAGCGACGCUUAUGCGUUGUUGGGUAGGGGAGCGUUCUGUAAGCCUGUGAAGGUGGCCUGUGAGGGUUGCUGGAGGUAUCAGAAGUGCGAAUGCUGACAUAAGUAACGAUAAAGCGGGUGAAAAGCCCGCUCGCCGGAAGACCAAGGGUUCCUGUCCAACGUUAAUCGGGGCAGGGUGAGUCGACCCCUAAGGCGAGGCCGAAAGGCGUAGUCGAUGGGAAACGGGUUAAUAUUCCCGUACUUGGUGUUACUGCGAAGGGGGGACGGAGAAGGCUAUGUUGGCCGGGCGACGGUUGUCCCGGUUUAAGCGUGUAGGCUGGUUUUCCAGGCAAAUCCGGAAAAUCAAGGCUGAGGCGUGACGACGAGGCACUACGGUGCUGAAGCAACAAAUGCCCUGCUUCCAGGAAAAGCCUCUAAGCAUCAGGUAACAUCAAAUCGUACCCCAAACCGACACAGGUGGUCAGGUAGAGAAUACCAAGGCGCUUGAGAGAACUCGGGUGAAGGAACUAGGCAAAAUGGUGCCGUAACUUCGGGAGAAGGCACGCUGACAUGUAGGUGAAGUGAUUUACUCAUGGAGCUGAAGUCAGUCGAAGAUACCAGCUGGCUGCAACUGUUUAUUAAAAACACAGCACUGUGCAAACACGAAAGUGGACGUAUACGGUGUGACGCCUGCCCGGUGCCGGAAGGUUAAUUGAUGGGGUCAGCGCAAGCGAAGCUCCUGAUCGAAGCCCCGGUAAACGGCGGCCGUAACUAUAACGGUCCUAAGGUAGCGAAAUUCCUUGUCGGGUAAGUUCCGACCUGCACGAAUGGCGUAAUGAUGGCCAGGCUGUCUCCACCCGAGACUCAGUGAAAUUGAACUCGCUGUGAAGAUGCAGUGUACCCGCGGCAAGACGGAAAGACCCCGUGAACCUUUACUAUAGCUUGACACUGAACAUUGAGCCUUGAUGUGUAGGAUAGGUGGGAGGCUUUGAAGUGUGGACGCCAGUCUGCAUGGAGCCGACCUUGAAAUACCACCCUUUAAUGUUUGAUGUUCUAACGUGGACCCGUAAUCCGGGUUGCGGACAGUGUCUGGUGGGUAGUUUGACUGGGGCGGUCUCCUCCUAAAGAGUAACGGAGGAGCACGAAGGUUGGCUAAUCCUGGUCGGACAUCAGGAGGUUAGUGCAAUGGCAUAAGCCAGCUUGACUGCGAGCGUGACGGCGCGAGCAGGUGCGAAAGCAGGUCAUAGUGAUCCGGUGGUUCUGAAUGGAAGGGCCAUCGCUCAACGGAUAAAAGGUACUCCGGGGAUAACAGGCUGAUACCGCCCAAGAGUUCAUAUCGACGGCGGUGUUUGGCACCUCGAUGUCGGCUCAUCACAUCCUGGGGCUGAAGUAGGUCCCAAGGGUAUGGCUGUUCGCCAUUUAAAGUGGUACGCGAGCUGGGUUUAGAACGUCGUGAGACAGUUCGGUCCCUAUCUGCCGUGGGCGCUGGAGAACUGAGGGGGGCUGCUCCUAGUACGAGAGGACCGGAGUGGACGCAUCACUGGUGUUCGGGUUGUCAUGCCAAUGGCACUGCCCGGUAGCUAAAUGCGGAAGAGAUAAGUGCUGAAAGCAUCUAAGCACGAAACUUGCCCCGAGAUGAGUUCUCCCUGAGACUUAGAGUCUCCUGAAGGAACGUUGAAGACGACGACGUUGAUAGGCCGGGUGUGUAAGCGCAGCGAUGCGUUGAGCUAACCGGUACUAAUGAACCGUGAGGCUUAACCUUACAA
rnacentral:rRNA from 1 species